rnacentral:rRNA from 1 species
CCUACGGGUGGCAGCAGUCGAGAAUCAUUCACAAUGGGGGAAACCCUGAUGGUGCGACGCCGCGUGGGGGAUUGAAGGUCUUCGGACUGUAAACCCUUGUCAUGUGGGAGAACAUUAAAAAGAUAGUCCCACCAGAGGAAGAGACGGCUAACUCUGUGCCAGCCGCCGAGGUAAUACCGAGGUCGCAAGCGUUGUUCGGAAUCACUGGGCGUAAAGCGUGCGUAGGCUGUUUCGUAAGUCGUGUGUGAAAGGCGCGGGCUCAACCCGGGGGCGGCACAUGAUACUGGGAGACUAGAGUAAUGGAGGGGGAACCGGAAUUCGCGGUGUAACAGUGAAAUGCGUAGAGAUCGAGAGGAACACUCGUGGCGAAGGCGGGUUCCUGGACAGUAACUGACGCUGAGGCACGAAGGCCAGGGGAGCGAAAGGGAUUAGAUACCCCAGUAGUC